GUAAACUAAAAAGAUGAAUAAUGGUCUGCAGUAAAUAUAUCCCCUUACAACCUUUUCUUUCAUGUUAAUUUUAAUAUCUUUAAGAUAUGUGACAAGGGUGCUCUAAUGCAGAGGAAUUUACGAAGUUAAGAAGUUAGAAAUAUAUUUUUUUCACAUUUUUGUCAUUUUUAGCUGAUUUUGGUUUGUAAUUAAGGUGAUAUUUUUUAAAGAAUAAUUUUACAAAAGGUAUAGUUGAAGAACAUCUUGUUGAAAUUGGAUUGGUUGAUUUUUGGUGUUAAACACCACUUUAACAUGAUUUACUAUAAUUUUGGCUGUAAAUUUUUAUUUGUGGAGACAGCCAGAGUGCCUGGUGAAAACAUCACCUUCAUCAGGGAAACGGGCAAACCUUAGUCAAAUUAAGAAUGAAGUUACACAUUUCAUGUGAGGGUUCUCAGUGUUGACAGGCUAGUGAUACAGUAGUUGAACUACUUAUAGGACCACUCUGCCACCAUAAGUCGAUCAGUACGAAAUAUUUUAUUGAAAUGUGUUAGAUUUUUGUUAUCAAUCUAUUUUCUAAUUUUAAUUGUACUAUUUUAUUUAUUUUGUUUAAUAUAACAAGGAUGUGGAGUCCGAACAGGGUGAAAUUUGGGUCAAAGGGAGGCAAUUUAUUAUACCCCUGUUUAACUCCACAUACUUGAAAUUCCCUCAAUGUUAGGAUUUUCAUCUACUUGGAUAUUCAUGUUUGUACAUUUUUUUUUUAAUAUCAGAUGUAUACUAGCUAAUAUUGACUAUUAUUUAGAGCUUUGUAAUAAAAAAAAAUAAAUGUAAGCAGAGCUCUAGAUAAUAAGUAUGCAGGGUGGGAGAAAUCUUGGGUCAUUAACAAUUGAUUUGCUGAAAUUUUCAAGAAAGGGGAUUUAUUGGAAAUGCAUCUGAUAUAUUUAAUGUAUAAGACUAUACUGUAGAAACAUUAAUUUUCGUGGGGUUAAAAUUUCGUGGUUUUUUUCUCUAUAUAAAAUUUCAUGGGGAUUUAAUUUCGUGGUUUCCAUUAAAUGGAAGUGAUAUUAUAUGAAGGUUAAAUUUUCGUGGGGGUUUUAAUUUCGUGGAUAUAUUCUUUCCACGAAAUAAACGAAAUUAAGUCCUCCACGAAAAUUUCUGCUUUUACAGUAUUUAAAAAAAAAAGAUGUUAAGAUGAUGAGGAGAGCCACCUUGUCAGCCGGGAGAGCAGCUCUAAGGGAGAUGGUCAAUUUAAUCUUCACCAAGUCUGAGGCUUUACCAUGAAAAAUAUGUGGUUGUUAUAAUGAUGAUGUUUUCAUGGUGUUGGGAGUAAGACUUGGAUGUCUGAUAUUGUUAACAUGUUGGUUAGCAUCAGGUUUCCAUUAGGUUACUUGCUGGGAUAAAGCUGUUAUAAGGCGA